rnacentral:rRNA from 1 species
GGGCCCGCACAAGCGGUGGAGCAUGUGGUUUAAUUCGAUGCAACGCGAAGAACCUUACCAGGGUUUGACAUCCUGCGAAUCUCUUGGAAACGAGAGAGUGCCUUCGGGAACGCAGUGACAGGUGGUGCAUGGCUGUCGUCAGCUCGUGUCGUGAGAUGUUGGGUUAAGUCCCGCAACGAGCGCAACCCACGUCUUUAGUUGCCAGCAUUUAGUUGGGCACUCUAUGGAAACUGCCCGUGAUAAGCGGGAGGAAGGUGUGGAUGACGUCAAGUCCUCAUGGCCCUUACGGGUUGGGCUACACACGUGCUACAAUGGUAUCUACAAGCAGGAAGCAAGACUGCGAAGUUAAG